GGGUUGUGAGGUUAAGCGACUAAGCGUACACGGUGGAUGCCCUGGCAGUCAGAGGCGAUGAAGGACGUGCUAAUCUGCGAAAAGCGUCGGUAAGGUGAUAUGAACCGUUAUAACCGGCGAUGUCCGAAUGGGGAAACCCAGUGCAAUUCGUUGCACUAUCGUUAACUGAAUACAUAGGUUAACGAGGCGAACCGGGGGAACUGAAACAUCUAAGUACCCCGAGGAAAAGAAAUCAACCGAGAUUCCCCAGUAGCGGCGAGCGAACGGGGAGCAGCCCAGAGUCUGAAUCAGCUUGUGUGUUAGUGGAACGGUCUGGAAAGUCCGACGGUACAGGGUGAUAGUCCCGUACACCAAAAUGCACAGGCUGUGAACUCGAAGAGUAGGGCGGGACACGUGGUAUCCUGUCUGAAUAUGGGGGGACCAUCCUCCAAGGCUAAAUACUCCUGACUGACCGAUAGUGAACCAGUACCGUGAGGGAAAGGCGAAAAGAACCCCGGCGAGGGGAGUGAAAAAGAACCUGAAACCGUGUACGUACAAGCAGUGGGAGCACCUUCGGGUGUGACUGCGUACCUUUUGUAUAAUGGGUCAGCGACUUAUAUUCUGUAGCAAGGUUAACCGUAUAGGGGAGCCGCAGGGAAACCGAGUCUUAACUGGGCGUUAAGUUGCAGGGUAUAGACCCGAAACCCGGUGAUCUAGCCAUGGGCAGGUUGAAGGUUGGGUAACACUAACUGGAGGACCGAACCGACUAAUGUUGAAAAAUUAGCGGAUGACUUGUGGCUGGGGGUGAAAGGCCAAUCAAACCGGGAGAUAGCUGGUUCUCCCCGAAAGCUAUUUAGGUAGCGCCUCGUGAAUUCAUCUUCGGGGGUAGAGCACUGUUUCGGCUAGGGGGUCAUCCCGACUUACCAACCCGAUGCAAACUACGAAUACCGAAGAAUGUUAUCACGGGAGACACACGGCGGGUGCUAACGUCCGUCGUGAAGAGGGAAACAACCCAGACCGCCAGCUAAGGUCCCAAAGUCAUGGUUAAGUGGGAAACGAUGUGGGAAGGCACAGACAGCCAGGAUGUUGGCUUAGAAGCAGCCAUCAUUUAAAGAAAGCGUAAUAGCUCACUGGUCGAGUCGGCCUGCGCGGAAGAUGUAACGGGGCUAAACCAUGCACCGAAGCUGCGGCAGCGACACUAUGUGUUGUUGGGUAGGGGAGCGUUCUGUAAGCCUGCGAAGGUGUGCUGUGAGGCAUGCUGGAGGUAUCAGAAGUGCGAAUGCUGACAUAAGUAACGAUAAAGCGGGUGAAAAGCCCGCUCGCCGGAAGACCAAGGGUUCCUGUCCAACGUUAAUCGGGGCAGGGUGAGUCGACCCCUAAGGCGAGGCCGAAAGGCGUAGUCGAUGGGAAACAGGUUAAUAUUCCUGUACUUGGUGUUACUGCGAAGGGGGACGGAGAAGGCUAUGUUAGCCGGGCGACGGUUGUCCCGGUUUAAGCAUGUAGGCUGGUUGUCCAGGCAAAUCCGGAUAAUCAAGGCUGAGGUGUGAUGACGAGGCACUACGGUGCUGAAGUAACAAAUGCCCUGCUUCCAGGAAAAGCCUCUAAGCAUCAGGUAACAUCAAAUCGUACCCCAAACCGACACAGGUGGUCAGGUAGAGAAUACCAAGGCGCUUGAGAGAACUCGGGUGAAGGAACUAGGCAAAAUGGUGCCGUAACUUCGGGAGAAGGCACGCUGGUGUGUAGGUGAAGUCCCUGCGGAUGGAGCUGAGACCAGUCGAAGAUACCAGCUGGCUGCAACUGUUUAUUAAAAACACAGCACUGUGCAAACACGAAAGUGGACGUAUACGGUGUGACGCCUGCCCGGUGCCGGAAGGUUAAUUGAUGGGGUUAUCCGUAAGGAGAAGCUCUUGAUCGAAGCCCGGUAAACGGCGGCCGUAACUAUAACGGUCCUAAGGUAGCGAAAUUCCUUGUCGGGUAAGUUCCGACCUGCACGAAUGGCGUAAUGAUGGCCAGGCUGUCUCCACCCGAGACUCAGUGAAAUUGAACUCGCUGUGAAGAUGCAGUGUACCCGCGGCAAGACGGAAAGACCCCGUGAACCUUUACUAUAGCUUGACACUGAACAUUGAGCCUUGAUGUGUAGGAUAGGUGGGAGGCUUUGAAGCGUGGACGCCAGUCUGCGUGGAGCCAACCUUGAAAUACCACCCUUUAAUGUUUGAUGUUCUAACGUUGGCCCCUGACCGGGGUUGCGGACAGUGUCUGGUGGGUAGUUUGACUGGGGCGGUCUCCUCCCAAAGCGUAACGGAGGAGCACGAAGGUUAGCUAAUCCUGGUCGGACAUCAGGAGGUUAGUGCAAUGGCAUAAGCUAGCUUGACUGCGAGCGUGACGGCGCGAGCAGGUGCGAAAGCAGGUCAUAGUGAUCCGGUGGUUCUGAAUGGAAGGGCCAUCGCUCAACGGAUAAAAGGUACUCCGGGGAUAACAGGCUGAUACCGCCCAAGAGUUCAUAUCGACGGCGGUGUUUGGCACCUCGAUGUCGGCUCAUCACAUCCUGGGGCUGAAGUAGGUCCCAAGGGUAUGGCUGUUCGCCAUUUAAAGUGGUACGCGAGCUGGGUUUAGAACGUCGUGAGACAGUUCGGUCCCUAUCUGCCGUGGGCGCUGGAGAAUUGAGGGGGCUGCUCCUAGUACGAGAGGACCGGAGUGGACGCAUCACUGGUGUUCGGGUUGUCAUGCCAAUGGCACUGCCCGGUAGCUAAAUGCGGAAGAGAUAAGUGCUGAAAGCAUCUAAGCACGAAACUUGCCCCGAGAUGAGUUCUCCCUGAGACUUUAAGUCUCCUGAAGGAACGUUAAAGACGAUGACGUUGAUAGGCCGGGUGUGUAAGCGCAGCGAUGCGUUGAGCUAACCGGUACUAAUGAACCGUGAGGCUUAACCUUACAACGCCGAAG
rnacentral:rRNA from 1 species